rnacentral:rRNA from 1 species
AUUGAACGCUGGCGGCAUGCCUUACACAUGCAAGUCGAACGGCAGCACGGGAGCAAUCCUGGUGGCGAGUGGCGAACGGGUGAGUAAUGCAUCGGAACGUGCCAUUGAGUGGGGGAUAACGUAGCGAAAGUUACGCUAAUACCGCAUAUUCUGUGCGCAGGAAAGCAGGGGAUCGCAAGACCUUGCGCUCUUUGAGCGGCCGAUGUCAGAUUAGCUAGUUGGUGGGGUAAAGGCUCACCAAGGCGACGAUCUGUAGCGGGUCUGAGAGGAUGAUCAGCCACACUGGAACUGAGACACGGUCCAGACUCCUACGGGAGGCAGCAGUAGGGAAUAUUGGACAAUGGGGGCAACCCUGAUCCAGCCAUGCCGCGUGAGUGAAGAAGGCCCUCGGGUUGUAAAGCUCUUUUGUCCGGAAAGAAAGCAAUCGGUUAAUACCCGGUUGUUCUGACGGUACCGGAAGAAUAAGCACCGGCUAACUUCGUG